UGACGUCAAAUACAUCAUGCCCCUUACUGACCUGGGCUACACACGUGCUACAAUGGGCGGUACAAAGGGUCGCGAACCGCGAGGGGGAGGCCAAUCCCAAAAAGCCGCUCUCAGUUCGGAUUGCAGGCUGCAACUCGCCUGCAUGAAGCCGGAAUCGCUAGUAAUCGCGGAUCAGCAUGCCGCGGUGAAUACGUUCCCGGGCCUU
rnacentral:rRNA from 1 species